CAGAGAAUAGUUUAAAUAAGAUUUUAGUUUUGGAAAUUAAAGAUGAGAUAUUUCUUUUCUCUGA
rnacentral:tRNA from 1 species